UACGUAGGUGGCUAGCGUUGUCCGGAUUUACUGGGCGUAAAGAGCGCGCAGGCGGUCGUUCAAGUCGAGUGUGAAAGCCCCCGGCUCAACUGGGGAGGGUCAUUCGAUACUGAUCGACUCGAAGGCAGGAGAGGGAAGCGGAAUUCCCGGUGUAGUGGUGAAAUGCGUAGAUAUCGAGAGGAACACCUGCGGCGAAGGCGGGUUGCUGGGCUGAUACUGACGCUGAUGCGCGAAAGCCAGGGGAGCGAACGGG
rnacentral:rRNA from 1 species